rnacentral:piRNA from 1 species
UGUAGUUAUCAAUGUUUUUCA